GGAGAUGUAGCUCAGUUGGUAGAGUGCUUGCCUCACAAGAACAAGGCCCUAGGUUCAAUCCCCAGCAACCCUC
rnacentral:tRNA from 1 species